GCCGGAGUGGCGGAAUGGCAGACGCUGGAGACUUAAAAUCUUCUGCCAGAAAUGGCGUGCGGGUUCGAGUCCCGCCUCCGGCACCA
rnacentral:tRNA from 1 species